rnacentral:rRNA from 1 species
GACGAACGCUGGCGGCGUGCUUAACACAUGCAAGUCGAACGGAAAGGCCCUGCUUUUGUGGGGUGCUCGAGUGGCGAACGGGUGAGUAACACGUGAGUAACCUGCCCUUGACUUUGGGAUAACUUCAGGAAACUGGGGCUAAUACCGGAUAGGAGCUCCUGCUGCAUGGUGGGGGUUGGAAAGUUUCGGCGGUUGGGGAUGGACUCGCGGCUUAUCAGCUUGUUGGUGGGGUAGUGGCUUACCAAGGCUUUGACGGGUAGCCAGCCUGAGAGGGUGACCGGCCACAUUGGGACUGAGAUACGGCCCAGACUCCUACGGGAGGCAGCAGUGGGGAAUAUUGCACAAUGGGCGGAAGCCUGAUGCAGCAACGCCGCGUGCGGGAUGACGGCCUUCGGGUUGUAAACCGCUUUAGCCUGUGACGAAGCGUGAGUGACGGUAAUGGGUAAAGAAGCACCGGCUAACUACGUG